GUCAUAUUUUGUACCACUGCGAGAAUGACAUAUCGCUUAUUUUUCAGUGUGUACGAUAUAACGGACAUCAAAAUUACCAAAUUUAUCACCGAAUUUUCUACGGACUUUUUUCCCCCGAUUACUGCAAAUAGCACAAGGCGGACGUGACCGGUCAGCAGAGGAUGCCAAAGGCACCUGAUCCUACCUAAUUCUUUAUAGAGGGCCUUGUUGCUCUGUGUCACACUGAUUUGAAAAAUAAAAGGCUUGAAGAUAAUUUAACUGGUACCUGCUUUGUUUUGGGAUUUACAUAAAUGAUGUUUUAUUGGUGACAAUUUACCCGCACACUUCUCCUGGGGUCAUGAAAGAUGAAAUGAUGAAAAGUAAACCUGAUCUUUAAGAACAGGAAGACUGUGUUUUUAACGAGAGAAGAGGAGCAGAACUAAGAAGUCAUACAAUAAACACAUUGACAUCAUAAAAAAAUUGCAAUUUUGAGUUUGCAUGCUUAAAUGUAUCAGUAUGUCAGGUUUAAAUGUUGUCAACGAAUUUCUUUUUCAGAAAAUCCUUUUAUCAUAUUGAAUUAAUAAAACAAAAGAUAUAUUAAAAGAUAUAUUAAC
rnacentral:sRNA from 1 species